GGAAGAGGAGGGGGAAGGGGGGGUAAACGAGGAGGGGGAGGGGCGACGCGCCCCGCGGCGUCUCCUGUGGCGCCGAAACCCGGGAGCUAGCGGGUGGCCCGAGCGCGCAGCGCCGCGAAGCGGGGCGGGUGUCUGGGGGGCUUCCUGAGGGCUGCGGACUCCCCCGCCCCGAAACUGCCAAAUAAAUCCUCCCCGGGGCCCGCCCAGCCCCCCCGGCCCCCGCGGCCCCCGGGCUCCGGGAACUCGGCUCGCUCGGACUUCCGGGAGAGGGAGGCUUUUCUUCUCCAAAACCGGCCAGGCUCCUUGGGCGCGCGUUGGUUUCACGGUGGAAAGGCUACAAUUAAAAAGACAAACGGCCACGACAAUAAAAUGAGCUCAGACCCCGCGGGCUUCGCUUCCUGGAGGCUUUCUGUGGUGUCUUGGCGGAGUUUUGGGGAGUCUUGGCUGGCCGUCCCUGUGAGCGCGUCUCGAUCCGUGGCCGCGGGGGCCGCGCGCGGUCCUGCGUUUUAACGCCAGCGGACUGGGCACGGCGCGGUCCUGCGGUCUGGUGAUGGGUGCUGCCCGGGGCGGUUCACGUCGCCUCUCUCGACGACACGGAAUUUACGCACCACAUGGCAAAGAGGUGUUGGACGUCGGCGGCAGUGCAGUCCGCUCUCUGAAACAGAAGGCUCUCUCCCGGAGAGUUCACUCCGUCUCCCUUUCACGUGAGCGAGAAGGCGAGAGCAUCGUACAUUGCCCGCUGCCCAGCUAGGAUCACUGCACGAGAAAAUGAGGCGUCCGUCCCUGCCGUGAAAGACCAUCAAAUCUGAUUAUCCUGAUAGGAUAAGAAGUCAGACAUCAUGCUGUUGACAGCCAGUGCUAGCCAAAGCCAGGAGCCCUGAACUGCGUCCGAGUCUCCUAUGUGGACGGCAGGGCCCCACGUUAGGCUGCCUGCCCCUGCCACCCGCGUGGGAGAUCUGGAAGAAGCUCCUGGCUCCUGGCUUCGGCCUGGCCCAGCCCAGCCUGUUCCAGUCAUUUGGGGAAUGAACCAGUAAAUGGAAGAUCUCUCUCUCUCUCUCCCCCUCUCUCUCUCUCUCUCUCCCUCUCCCUCUCCUUCUCUGUGUAACUCUGACUUUCAAAAAUAAAUAAAUAAAUAUUUAAAAAUAUAAUAAUAAUAAUAAUAUUAAAUCUUUUUUUAAAAAGCUGGAAAUCAUUUCCAGAUAGACUUUUCUAACUUAAUAGUAAUAAUAACCAAGUAGCGAUUCAUCUCAAGGGAAAUUGCCUAGAAGGUUUUGUGAAUGUGUUUUUAUCUUCACUUUGUUGACUGCUGGCAAUGAGCACAAACAACGAGCGCCUCCCUUCUUCGAGAUGUGGACCGCUUGGAAGCAGCGGAAGUGCGUCCAGGGCUUCCUGCUGUCCUAAGAGCCAGGCUCCAGCUGCUGGUGGAGCUGCCCAGACGGGCACUCUGAGUCUCAGUGGGAUUCUGGAUGUGCCGUUGGGGACGGAAAAAACGAAGGCCGCAAAGUCCAGUGGAGAUUUUUAAAAUGCCACAGGAAAAAUCAGGUGAAAGUCCUCUUGUGUGAAAUGUCACCACUGUUUACGAGGUGCGAGGCAGCCAGUCUGCCUGGCUCAGGGACCAAAAUAAUCAUCUCUCCAUAGCACAGCGCCAGAGGUGGAGCAACACCUCGGAAGGUUGUGAGAGAAGAAGCGGAGCGUCUUUCUAGACCUGCGUGGCAAGUUCUGCCCUCUCCGGGCAUCUCUGGAAGAGAAAAUGUGGCCAUCGCAAAGCUGUUAUCUUACUGAUGCCUACAGUAAAAGACCUUUGAAUCCAAAUCUCAGGGACAGAUUUUUUGAGGCAGCUUCAGAUCCCUCACAAUGAGGAACACGGAACUUUGCUACAGGAGACUUUGGUUGUUAGCAUAAUUAUAGGCUUCUAGAAGGUUCCCUGGCUGUGUCUUUCGUCCAUUUCCAACUGUGGCGCUUUCCUUAAAAUAUUCAUAUUUCACACCUUUACGUGGUCUCUGGACGCUGCCAACUUGCACAUAUUGGGUGCCGGAAUCCUUUUCCUAAUUAUUGGCCACAUGCACAAAAUAGUUUAAUAAUACAUGGUUGCCUGUAGAACCAUCUUCUAAGUAGCACAUAUCCAGUAGCAUCCCCCACCACUCAGUGGGCAAAUGUGGUUGCAAGUCAGGCUAGGAUCCUCACAGCCAACAGGCAAGGGCUUUUGGUAGAAGAAAUUGUCUAGAACUUCAGCAAACAAAUUUAAAUGACUUUGUUGACAAGAACACCAUACAACACAAAACUCCACUAAGGCAAGACCCUGGGGAAUGAGCCUUGGAAAGUUCCAGAAAAGGUGGGGGGCUACAGGCAACUAGUUGGCCUCAUCAGUGAGCCAAGAGAAUAGGCCAGUAUUUCUGAAUAGCAUAGGACUGAAGGAAUUCAAGGGGUCCAGGGACUCACCCCCAAGUCACCUACUAGCGUUCACAGAUGCCCCUGCGUCUUUGGGAGUAUGCUUCUCCGUGUCUAUCAGCAGAGGAUGGAAAAGUUUAAAAGGGUUUUUGGCUUGGGUGGUUGGUUUUUUUAGACUCACCAAAGUAGCUAGCAGACUAUCAUGUUUGGAAAACCAAGACUUUACAAAAUACAAAUGUUUGUUUCCGUGUUAAGCUACUCUUCCCUGGAAAGCUCAGGACACCGGAAGCAUUUUACCCUUUCAUGAAUUUUUCCAACACAUUUAUUAAGCACCAUGAUGUACCAAACGAGGCACUUGAUCCUGGAGCUGCAAAUACAGAGGGGACCCAAAUCCUGCUCUUCAAGGGCCUCCAGCCUUCACCCCAUCUUGUGUCCUGCGUGUGUGGUUUCAGGCCAGUUUGCACAAGUGGACCACGCAUUCAGAACCUCAGAUUCAGCGAUUUCUUUUUUUUUUUUUUUAGCUCAUGAAUAAUCAGUUCACACUAAAGAUGCUGCUGGAUAUACAGGGGGAUUCCCACAAGUUUUCAAAUACCUUGAAGUGCCCUUGGCGGGGCAGCCAGGCGGGGCAGUGGUUGGGAUGUCUCUUGGGAUGCCUGCGUCUCAUAUUGGAUUAUCUGGGCUGGACUCAACUCUGCUCCCAAUGCCAGUGCACAACCUGGGAGGCAGAAGAUGAUGGCCAGAUACUUGGAUCCCUGCCACUCAUGCAAGAGACUGUCCCAGACUGAGUUCCAGGCUCCUGACUUUGGCCUGCACCAACCCCGGCUGUUGUGGGCAUUUAGGGAGUGAACCAACUGAUGGAAGAUCUCUCUCUGUCUCUGUCUCUGCCUCUCCUUCUGUGUGUGUGUGUCUACCUUUCAAAUAAUAAUAAAAUAGAUACAUAAUUUUUAAAUACCUUUCAAAAAAAGAAGUAAAACAAUGAACCUUUUUAUUCUAAAAUGAGGUGAUAGAACUGAGCAUUUGGGUGUCCGCAAUAGCAAAGCAGCAAAGGUGAGGUUAAGGACACAGCUGUUGGGAUCAGUUCAGUGGUCCCAGGAUCAGAAUCUGUUCUCUGUAUUGGAGACAUGAGGGACCAUUACAAGAGGCCGAGGCAGCAAGUCCAGCCACAAUGGUGUCACACGAACUCAGUGUCAUCAGAUUUGUUUUUAGAAAGGCUGAGAGACACACAGACAGAUAUCUUCAUCAACUGUUUCAUUCCCCAAAUGCCAGCAACCACCAGGGCUGAAGCAGGCCAAAGCCAGAAGCCUGGAGUUCCAUCUGGGACUCCCACAUGGGUAGUUGAGCCAUCACCUGCUGCCUCCCAGGGUACCGAUGAGCAGGAAGCUGGAAUAGAAGUGGAGCAGCUGGAACUUGAAUCCAGGCACUCUGACUGGGUGGCUUAGCCACUGCACCACAUGCUUGCUCCAAUUUGUUUCGAGGGAAAGAAAAGUCUGACAGCUGAUGAGCAUGGACAGAGCAUGGAUAAGGAGGCAGAGGUCUGGUUUGGAAAUGCAUCCCUCUGAUAUUUGCCGCGCUUCCUGGCCAGCUCCCGCCCUUGCUACUUUAGGCCCCUCCUUCUUCACUUGUAAGAUGAGGGUGUCUUACCAGCUGAUGCCUGGAGUCCCCUGUAACGCUGGCAGUCGGUGCUGAAGGUGGCCCUGGGCAGUCUGUGCUGUAAUUCUGAUAACUGAUUAGGUAUUUCAUUAACAGCCAAAGUUACUUCACUGCUAAUAUGAGAAUACUUAUGGUGAGGCUCCCAGAACUAAAAUAAAUGAGCCUUUCGCACCUCUGCUGGUGCCCUCCUUUCCAGCUCUCUCUACAGGAGAUCAGACAAACAGCAGACAAUGAAUUAAUUCACAAGCAAAGACUAUUUUUGGCAACUGGGAAAGUUAGAUCCUUCUCUGUUUAUACAUGCCUAUUCUAUACAUAAAUCUGUGUACACAUUAUAUGUGACUAUUAUAUGUGACUAUUCCCAAAUAAAAUUAAAAUAUUUAUUAUAUUUAUAUAUCAUAUAAUUAUACAUUAUAUUGUUAUAUAAUAUAUUGAUUUAUAUCAGUAUACUUCAUUUUAUAUAACUUAUGUAUUAUUAUAAAUAUAAUCAAAAAGACCUUGGAAAAUGAAUAUUGUGAAAAAAAAACUCCAUGGAUUUCAAAAUUUCUUGCAUCAAAAUAAGUUUAUCUUUCAAUUCUAUUUUUUCCAUGAAUUUUUGAAGUCUCCUUGUACACUUGUAACAUUUAUUGAAUGCAUAUGUUCCAGCACUGUUGAAGACUUUAUAUACAUUUACCCAUCACUUCUUAUUUUCAUUUAUUCUAUUUCAAAUCUUUUUUAAAGAUUUAUUUUAUUUUAUUUUACUUGAAAGAGUUACAGAGAGGCAGAGGCGCAGAGAGAGAGAGAGAGCGAGAGAUGUCUUCCAUCCAACAGCCAGAGCUGGGCUGAUCCAAAGCCAGGAGCCAGGAGUUUCUUCUUGGUCUCCCACGCAGAUGCAGGGGCCCAAGGACUUGAGCCAUCUUCCACUGCUUUCCCAGGCCAUAGCAGAGAGCGGGAUCAGAAGUGGAGAAGCUGGGACUAGAACCUGCGCCCAUAUGGGAUGCCGGCACUGCAGGUGGCUUUCUACCACUACGCCACAGCACUGGCCCCUUCUAUCUCUCUCUCUCUGUCUUUUUUUUUUUUUUUUGACAGGCAGAGUGGACAGUGAGAGAGAGAGACAGAGAGAAAGGUCUUCCUUUUGCCGUUGGUUCACCCUCCAAUAGCCGCCGCGGCCAGCGUGCUGCGGCCGGCACACCGCGCUGAUCCGAAGGCAGGAGCCAGGUGCUUAUCCUGGUCUCCCAUGUGGGUGCAGGGCCCAAGCACUUGGGCCAUCCUCCACUGUACUUCCCUGGCCACAGCAGAAAGCUGGCCUGGAAGAGGGGCAACCGGGACAGAAUCCUGCGCCCCGACCGGGACUAGAACCUGGUGUGCCAGCACCGCAAGGCAGAGGAUUAGCCUAUUGAGCCAUGGCGCCGGCCUGGCCCUUUCUAUUUCCAAUCGUAAUGCUCACAAUUGAUUUCUCAAAAUAUGGAAAUUUAUCAGGUUUAUUGAAAACAUCUUUUAAAAAGAUUUACUUAUUUAUGUAUUUGAAAGGCAGAAUUACAGAGAGAGAAGGAGAAACAGAGAGAGAAAGAGAUCCUCCAUUCACUGAUUCACUUCCUAGUGGCGUCAACGCAUUUGCUAGGGCAGCCCAAAGCCAGGGGCCCAGAGCUUCUUCCAGAUCUCCCACAUAGGUGUAGGGGCCAAGCACUUGGGCCAUCUUCUGCUGCUUUCUCAGGUGCAUUAGCAGGGAGCUGGAUUGGAAGUGGAGCAGCCAGGAUUCGAAUCAGCACCUGUAUGGGAUGGUGGUGUGACACCACAGAUGGAGGCUUAACCUGCUGUGCCACACUCCAGCCCUAUUGCAAACAUCUUGUGUCACAGGUGUAGCUGUUAUUCAGGGAGUGAGGAACCAUGAUUCAUGAAAAGGAUUCGCAAUUCAUUUGAACUUUCGGUAAAGGGUUUUCCGGAAAUGUAUGGAUUUGAUCAUCUUUAUGUCUGAGGGCAGGGUUCUGCUCCUAUUUUGGACAGAGAAGAAAAACCUUGGAGUUUUUGAAGAUUAGGAGAUAUUUCCAACUCCAAAUAAAUCAGAGGAAAAAAUCUUAAUAAGUCUCCACGAGUGUUUUCUGGCAAUGAGGGUGACAUUUAAUGUUAGUGUGAUGUUUUGAACACAUGAUCUGGGAGUGAGUUACAGAAUUAAUUUUGACAUUACUGGGCCAAUUCAGAUGUGCUUCAUUUUGUCUGGACCAGACCAAAAUCCACACUAUUCAAAUUAUUCGGGAUUACUCGGCUCCAUGGUCUUUGCCCAUAUAGAACACUCAAAGCAAUGGUGAAACACUGAGUAGCCUAAGGGAUGUGACUUAUGUUAUGAUAAUGAUUAAGCUGCAUAUUUUCCCAAAAUGUACAAAUACAUAACGUUCUGUUUUACUCAUAUGCUUACGUACGGAUAGCAGAAAUAAAAAGUGUUUACUUUAGCUACAACAAAUGCCAUUCCCUUGCUUAGUGACUUUGAUAUCCUUCAGCCAAAUCAAGCAUAUAGGUUUUACAGAAACCAGAAUCUGUAUCAAAUACAAUGAGUUUCUUGCUCCUGCCACCCAUGUGGGAGACCUGAAUUGAAUUCUGGGCUCCUAGCUUCAACUUUGUCCAGUUUUGGCCAUUGUAGAUACUUGGGUAGUGAACCAGCAGGUGUCUUUCUCUCACACACACACAAACACAAAUAAAUAAUAUUUUUUAAAAGAUUUAUUUAUUUAUUUGAAGGGAAGAAUUAGAGAGAACAAGAUCUUCCAUCCACUGGUUUACUCUGCAAAUGGCCACAAUGACCAGAGCUGGGCCAAUCUGAAGUCAGGAGCCAGGAGCUUCUUCCAGGUCUGCCACGUGGGUACAGGGGCCCAGGGACUUGGGCCAUCUUCCACUGUUUUUCCAGGCCACUAGCAGGGAGAUGGAUCAGAAGUGGGGCAGCCAGGACUCAACCUGGCACCCAUAUGGGAUGCUGGUGCUGCAGACAGCAACUUUACCCACUAUGCUACGGUGCCAGCCCCUAAUUAAUAAUUUUUUAAAAAAGAUUUACAUGCAAUGAGUUUUUCUGUCCCAGCCUCCCUUUUCUCUCUCAACCUUAUGAUGACUCCAUUCGUUUUUGUUUGUUGGUUUUAAAGCUUUAAUUAUUUAUUUUAGAGGCAGAGUUACAGAGAGGCAGAGGCAGAGAGAGAGAGAGAGAGAGAGAGAGAGAGAGAGAGGGUCUUCCAUCUGCUGGUUCACUCCCCAGAUAGCUGCAAUGGAGCUGCUCCAAUCUGAAGCCAGGAGUCAGGAUCUUCUUCUGGGUCUCCCAUGCGGGUUCAGGGGCCCAAGGACUUGGGCCAUUGUCCACUGCUUUCCAAGGCCAUACCAAAGAGCUGGAACAGAAGAGGAGCAGCCAGGACUUGAACCCAUGCCGCUAAGGGGCAUGGCAGGCAUCGGCUUUACCUGCUACGCCACAGUGCUGACCCGACUUCAUUGUUAAAUAAAACAUGGAUAAUGUCAAUUUUCCCAGUAGCACCAGUAAUAUUUGUUGCUGUUUCAUAAGUAAUUUAGGAAAGUAACCGAAGCAUAAAGAAACUAAAUUAUUUAUUACUGUAUUCUCCUCUACUAUAUCACUAUAAUCUUCAGUAUUAAUGUCUUCCUUAUAAGUGUAAGGUUGGAAAAUUGGAGUCAACUGGGUUAAGUUGAUAAAUUAAACAGUUAUGAAAUGUGUUCAGGUGAGUAGCUGAUCUUGAUUUUUAUUGCUUAAUAAUGCAUGCGUUAUCUAAAUAUUUAUCUAAGAGUGUGCUUAGGCAUUCUUAUUGAAAUUCUGCUCUAAUACUUUCCUUAAAGGAUUCUCUUUUAGGGUCAUAAGUAUUUUGAGUCAGUUCUUACGAGUCAAGCGCAAGCCUAACACUCAACAGUUCAAUGACAAGUACAGUGUGGACAAGACAGACGGAGCCAGGCCUGAGUUAGGAAAACUGGGAUCUCAAGCCAGCCUGGCUGCGGUUGGCAAUUCAGGCAAUUUAGAGAUUAGCUUGAAAGCCACAAUCUGGGGGAGCUAGAAUCCUUGGAGAACUGUGCAGUGUGGCUGUCGUCGGGAAGCGUGGGGACUGUGUAGCCAGAGGAAAUCGGAAGGCACACUGGUACGUGUGGCUCUCCAGCCAAACGUGGAAGAGUGUAGACAGAGACCACUCAGCAAACAAGUGGCAGGAAAGACACGACAGUCCUGGCCUGGUGGGGUUGCCAUCUCUGCAGGGAACCCUGCCUGAAACCUUCAGACAGCCUGGGCUCCCAUUUGCUCCUCCAGAGAAUCCUUUUUUUUUUUUUUAUUAUAAUUUAUUUAUGUACUUCCAAGGGAGGGAAAGAGGGAGAGUGUUAGGGGGAGAAAGAGAGAGGGAGAGAGAGAGAUCUCAUCUACUGGUUAACUCCAACUGGAAAUCGACAGCCAUCAAAAUGGUACUUCCAGUUGGAGAACAUGAAGUGGCUUCUGUGGUUUUAUUUUUCUUUUUUGUUUACUUUUUUAUUUUAUUAUUUUAAGAUUUAUUUAUUUUAUUUGAAAAGCAGAGUCACAGAGAGAGACACAGUAAGGGAUAAAAUCUCCAAUAGAAAGGAGUAAAAAUGUGUGAUGCCUUCACACUCCCAAAUACUGUGUGAUUUGGGGGUAGGAUUAGAAGUCAAGAGGAUUGGCGUUGUGGCAUAGAAGAUGCAGUGCCGGCACCCCAUAUGGGCAUUGGUUCUAGUCCCAGCUGCUCCUCUUCUGAUCCAGCUCUCUGCUGUGGCCUGGGAAAGCAGUGGAAGAUGGCCCCAGUGCUUGGGCCCCUGCACCUGUAUGGGAGACCAGAAGAAGCUCCUGGCUUCAAAUUGGCCUGGUUCUGGCCAUUGUGGCCAUUUGGGGAGUGAACCAGCAGAUGGAAGACCUUUCUCUUUGUCUCUCCCUCUCUCUGUCUGUAACUCUACCUCUCAAAUAAAUAAAUAAAAUUGUUUUUAAAAAAAGUCAAAUUCCAUAGUCCCAGACUGGCAAGAAAAUGUGGGAAAUGUUAACUGAUAAAUAAGUUAGUUCAAAAGAGAGCUCCUGACUACCUACUGGUUCUACCCUACUUAAAGUAACAUUCAGAAAUAAUUCUCCUUCAAAAAUGUGUCAUCUAUGCAAAGGGUUUUUUUUUUUUUUAAUUAAUAACCAGCAUCAGAGUUGGGAAAUUGCCUGUUAACUAAAUUCAGCCCAUCUCCAGUCUUGGUAACGAAAGGUUUCCUGGAAUACAGCCACACUUACUUAUUCUUGUGUUCUCCAAGGCGGCUUCUCACCAGAAUGACAGGAUUGAGUAGUUGUGUCAGAGACCUCUGGCCCACAACACUGAGAACUGACAUUGAUAAUGACCAGGUGUGCUGACCCUUGACCUACAUGAGCUAAGCAGUGAUUGGCUAGCAGCCCCCUUAACUACUUUCGCUAGUGGGCAUGUGCUAUGGCUAUAUUAUUCCCGAAAUGUCUGAGAGAUUCAGGCUUCCUUGGGCGCUCCCAUCAGGAACAGACUGAAGACCGGGAAUCCAUCUGGUGACCAAAGGAGCAGUCACCCCAGGCUACCACCUGAGUACCAGUUCCUUCCCGUUUUCCCAGGACCACCAUUUGUUUUAAAACAGAAAGUCCCAUGUUCCAGGAAAUCCCUCGAUCCUGGGCAAAUAGGUGGGUUGGUCCCUCUGAGAGGUGGUGGGGAGGGAGUGGACCGGUCUGGGGGAAGUUACUUAAUCCCUCUGAGCCUCAUUUCCUAUCUACAAAGUGGGACUGAUUGUUUCUUGAGGAUUGUCAUAAGGAUUAAAGGAGAUUAUGCACAGAAAGACUAACAUAUUCUAGGCACUUAAUGCUAGUUCCCUCCCUACCCUUCUGAUGUUUAAAUGUCUUUCUAUGGUCUCUAUUCUUUUUUCUUUCUUGUUUUCUUCCUUCCUUCCUUUUUUUUUAAGAUUUAUUUAUUUAUUUGAAAGGCAGAGUCACAGAGAGGCAGAAGCACAGAGAGAGAGAGAGAGAGAGAGAGAGGUCUUCUGUUCUCUGGUUCAUUCCCCAAAUGGCUGCAACAGCUGGAGCUGGGCCUGUCGAAAGCCAGGAGCCAGGAGCUUCUUCUUGGUCUCCCAUGGGAGUGCAGGGGUCCAAGCACUUGGGCCAUCCUCCACUGCUUUCCCAGGCACAUUAGCAGGGAGCUGGAUGGGUUGUGGAACAGCCAGAUCUCGAACCGGCACCCAUAUGCGAUGCCAGUGCUGCAGGCAGAGGGUUAGCCCACUAUACCACAGCACCGGCCCCCUUUACUCCUUUCUUGAUGUUGAUCGCUUUUGUUCAUACUUUUCUGUGCUUUUAUUAGAUGCUGCUUCUGGUUAUUUUGGGGACUAGUUUGGGUAAUUAAAAUUGUAGGUAAGCGUGCACAUAGGUUUCCAAGUGUAUCUCAGCGCAUGUAAGUUGUAAGUUACACUCUUGGGGAGGGGGUUGUGAUGCUACGGGUAAAGUUGCUGCCUAGGAUGCCAACAUCCCACACUGGAGUGCCUGGGAUCAAGUCUCGCCUCUGCUUCCGGCCCAGCUUCCCAAUAACGCACAUCCCGGGAGGCCCAGAUUGUGGCCCGCGUAGGUGGGUCUCUGGCACUCACCUGGGACACCUUGACUGAGUCCCAGGCUCCUGGCUUUGAUCUGGCCCAGCCCUGGCUCUUGUGGGCAUUUGGGGAAUGAACCAGCAGAUGAAGGAUCUCUCCCUCUCUUGUGCUCUGCCUUCCAAAGGAAUAUUUUUUAAAAACAGAUUUUUUUCAUUUAUUUGAGAGGUAGAGUUGACAAAGAGAGGGAGAGACAGAGAGAGAGGUUUUCCAUCCACUGUUCAUUGCAGCAAAUGGCUGCAAUGGCCAGAGCUGGGCUGAUCCAAAGCCAGGUGCCAGGAGCUUCUUCUGGGUCUCCCACAUUGGGUACAGGGACACAAGCAUGUGGGCCAUCUUCCACUGCUUUCCCAGGCCAUUAGCAAGGAGCUGGAUUGGAAGUGGAGAAACCAGGACUUGAACUGGCACUCAUUUGGGAUAUCCAUGCAGUAGGCAGCAGUUUUACCCACUACAACAUAGUAUUGGCCCCACUCUCCAUUUUCUAUUAAUGUCAUUUCUUUGUUCUUUCUAUAAAUAAAUACUCUAAUAAAUGAAUAACUGAUUUUGCAUUGGUGAAAAUUGACCAUAUACAUAAAAUUGACUGAUUUUUAACUUGGUAAUUGUUCUAUGUUUGGGAGGCUGGAGGCAAAGGGCUAUUAGUCAUGUUUUGCCCAUCUGCAGAUAUAUCCUAGAAAGUUUGCUCUGCCCAGCUGGUGGAAGUGGUUCAGGGUAUCCCUAGUCCAUAGUCAGAUACAGAACUUUUGGGGAAUGAGAUCAAGGUCUUCUUCUAAUCUACCAUUUCUCGCCUCUAACAGACAAUGUCAACAGGAAGUUGAUAGAGCCUGAGAGUGCUACCUCACUUGUAGUUCAUUUGAUGGCUCAGUAUGACCCAAGGCACUAAGUGGACCACUCUCUUAUUCAGUUUUUUUUUUUUUUAAGAUUUAUUUAUUUAUUUGAAAGUCAGAGUUACGCAGAGAGUGGAGAGGCUGAGAAGAGAGAGAGAGAGAGAGAAAGAGAGAGAGAGAGAGAGAGAGAGAUCUUCAUCCAAUGGUUUACUCCCCAGUUGGCCGCAACGGCCAAAGCUAGGAGCCAGGAGCUUCUUCCAGGUCUCCCAUGCUGGUGCAGGGGCCCAAGGCCUUGGGCCAUCCUCUAUUGCUUUCGCAGGCCAUAGCAGAGAGCUGGAUCAGAAGUGGAGCAGCAGGGUCUCGAACCAGCCCAAUAUGGGAUGCUGGUGCUGCAGGCCAGGGUGCCACUGCACCCACCCCUCUUAUUCAGCUUUAAAUGAAGUUAGUAACAUACACAAUAGUGUAUAAAUCAAAGAGCAACCCACACAACCUCAGAGGUCCCCAGGACAAGAUCAAAGGCAUGAGGUGGCAUCAGUGUCAUUCCGCUGACAGUAUUAUGAUUUAACAUUCAGUUUAUUAGCAAAUGUGCAGCAUAGAAUUACAUAGGGUGUACUCCUGUAGUAAUUUAUAUUCUUAAUUACACCUAAAAAUCCUAGCUGGUUCCCAACAAAUUCCUUUAGGAAAUUGCUAUAUGAGUUUGAGGAAUCAAGUUUUUACUGAACUGAUGAAAUUCCUCUAAAACUAUCAGCAUUUCAAGUUAAUAUUCAAUUUUUUAAUCACUAUACUGGAUGGAGUUAAAUAAUGUAGACUCCUAUAGUAAUGUGUCUUGUCCAAGUACCAAAAUACUCACACAGUUGUAGCUGGUUCCCUCUUUAGCCUCAGUUUACCUGAGGCUAUGGCCAUGGGAUUUUUAUGAAAUCAAACUUUUUAUUGAAUUAAUUGGUCACACCUACCAAAACUUAUAAAAUCUAUGAAAAAGGUAGACGAUUUGUUUGGCUGAUUUGAGUGGCCAAUACAGCAAAAUGAGUCAAAUUACUAGCUCAGAAUACACAUUCCUUAAUUUGAUCUCAUCUAUGAACAUCUAUUUUGUUUUUUUGGUUGGGACUCCACCCAAAAACAUCAGCUUGCACACUUGGCUUUACACUGGGAUCACCUGGAGAGUUUUGACACUGCCCAAGCCCAGGCCACCCCAGGUGGAUUCAAUCAGAAUCCUGGAGGCGAGGGUGGCGGUGAUAAUGAGACUCAGGUAUUAUUAGUACCUUAGGUGACACAGCCAGGCUUGGGAACUGCUGACCUCAAGUUCAAAUACAUAGGUGGUAAUGAAGCCACUAUACCAUGUUUUGCAUUAAGGUGGAAGCCUAAUGGAGAAAUAAAUAAGAAUGAGACUUGGGAAUCAUAUUGCUAAUUACCCUAAGCUCAUAAUUAAUUUAUUUUAUAGCAGUACUUGCAGAAAUAAAUUUAUGUAUUUAUUUGAAAAGCAGAGAGGUAUACAGAGAAAGAAUAGACAUAGAUCUUUCAUCUACUGGGCCAUUCCCCAAAGGCUGACAACAGGCAUGAUUGGGCCAGGCAAAAGCCAGGAGCCAGAAACUAUCCAGGUCUCCCAUGUGGGUGACAGGGUUCUGACUACUGGAGCCAUCACCUGCUGCCUCCCGGUGCACAUUAGCAGGAAGCUGGAGUGGGAAGCAGAGCCAGGACUCAAACCCAGGCACUCCAAUAUGGGACGCAGGAGUGCCAAGUGGCAUCAACUGCUGUGCCAAAUGCCCCUAAUAAUUUUUAUUGUUAUUGUUAUUUAAAAAGCAACAGCUUUUUAUUGAGCUCUUACCAAGUAUCAUGGGCAAUGCCAGGUGUUAUCCUUGGAUUCCUUCAUUAAAUUCCUCUCACUCAGCAGUGAAGUCUUAGGAAACCAGUGAAAUGAUUGAGUCCAUUGCACACAUGGGGAAGUUGAGGCCUUGCCCAAGAACACCCAGGCAGCAAGGGGUCAAUGGGAGUCACCAGGACAAUGAGGUCACUCCCAACACCUGUGCUCCGGGGCUUUUGUAAAAUCAGGGACUGGAAAGUCACUGCUCUCCUAGGUCUUUGGACUUCUUAUCUUAUCUCUUGGGGCUUUGGUUUAUUUCAUUUUCUUUGUUUCUGGAUGUCAAGGCCUUUCCAAACAGCACGUGAAAGCAAUUUCUGACACCCGUGGGAGAGGGCUGGCCCCGUUUAUGGAUACAAUAGGCAGAGGAGUUAAUAUUGCAUAUUAAGAUCUCCCUCUCCCUCAGGGGGCUUCCUGGCAGACUUAAAACAUUUUUAGGCAGCAGAAAGGAAACCCGAAACAAAACAACCACCUGGAGGAAACACGCAGAUUUGCUGAAGCAUGUUGAAAAUUUAAUUGAAAGAGAGUAAGAAUAUAACUGUUCUUCGUACUCCCGGUGAAUCUUGUUUGCCAUUUCAUAAGCUCGUCAGGGUUGUCCUACCAACCUGUAUGGGUUUGCUUUAAAAAGCUUUUUUUUUUUUUUAAUGUAUUUAUGCUGAAGUAGGCCCCUUAAGAAACAUGUGUUACUGAACAUCAGCUGAAUUCUUAACAUGCACUUUUGUUUU